rnacentral:rRNA from 1 species
GAUGAACGCUGGCGGCGUGCCUAAUACAUGCAAGUCGAGCGAACAGACGAGGAGCUGGCUCCUCUGACGUUAUCGGCGGACGGGUGCUGAACACGUGGUUAACCUACCUAUAAGACUGGGAUAACAUCGGGGAACCGGGUCUAAUACCGGAUGAUAUAUUGACCCUCAUUGUUCAAUAGUUAAAUACGGUUUUGCUGUCACUUAUAGAUGAAUCCGCGCAGCAUUAGCUAGUGGGUAAGGUGGCGGCUUACCAAGGCGACGAUGCGUAGCCGACCUGAGCGCGUCAUCGCCUAGCCUGUCACUGAGACACGGCCCCGACACUGACGGUAGGCCGCAGUAGGGACUCUUCCGCGAUGCGGCAAUGCCUGACGGAGCACAGCCGCGUAAGUGCUGAACCUCUUCUGCUCGUAAAGCUCUGUUAUUAGUGAAGAUCAAAUGCGUAAGUACCUAUGCACAUAUUGACGGUACCUAAUCAGAAAGCUCCGGCUAACUCCGUG